rnacentral:snRNA from 1 species
GUAAAGUGACUACUUUUCUAAUU